rnacentral:lncRNA from 10 species
CAGGGCUAGGUAUGUCCAAGCUCAGGCUCUCCUUAGGGGGGGGUCUUGCUGUGGCUGCUGUUGGGAGUGGGGGUGAUGUUCCCAGGUCAUUGGAAUUGUGUACCUAGGAGGAUUAUGGCUGCCUCUGCUGAGUCAUGCAGGUUGUCAGAGAAGUGAAGACACCUGAAAUUAUGUCCUGAAAAUGCAUACAACAACAAGACAGAGAAAUUUGCUGAAAAAGCACCACAGCAAGAAACAACUAACACAUCCAAUCAUCAAAAAGAAGAAAGUGACCAUGCUAACUCCUUUACAACAGACAAUCCAGUCAGCCAUCCUGAACAACUUGUCUCUGCAGAUCCAGAAUUCUUCACACCACUGGAUAUAUUGAAUGAAAGAAUGAGUGGUGCAGAGAACCCAUAAAUCAUGAAAUCCGAGAAGUUGGACACAAUGAAUACAGUGUUCUAUGAAGAUAAAUAUUAAUAAUAAAAUUGUUAAAAUUGAACACUUUCUCAAUGCAACCUGAGAAAUAGGGUUAGUUAUGGAAGAGAUACUCUGGUGUACCUAUUUUUAUUCAAUUGGUGAAAAAGCAGAUACAACCAAAGGCAAAACACUUAGAGUAGAAAAAGAACUGCAACAUCACUCAACCAUUCCUUGCUAACAAGCAGAGAGUACCAGUGUUUUUCAGUUUAAAGAAGUGGAAAGUUUUAACAGUAGAAUGAUAAAAUUGUAAUAAUAUAAAUUAUUUUUCAAAUACAUUAACAAAACUAAGGAUUUUCUGAAGUUUUUGAUAAAGUUCAAUCUCAAAGUAGAUUACUUGUUGAGUAUUAUGGCACUACAGGAUAGAAUUUUAGAGAACAGAGUAGAAAGCAGAAAAAGAGCAUUCCUGAAGAAAUCGGGAAAUAGAAUAGCCAUAUUCAUUAAGACUUAUUACCACUUUUUUCAUUGGAAGACAUCAGAGCUUUUAAUAAAACCAUCUAAUAUAUCUUGGUGAAUUCACAAGUUUCUGCAAAGAUGGUACUUUUUUAAAAAAUUAAGAGGUCUUCACAAUUUGGUUUCAUUUUGGUGAAUUUGUAUGCCCUAAAAUUCUUGUUCCUUCUCGUUUGUGAGUAAGCAUAUCUGAAUUUGGUCAAAUCCAGUUAAAUAAUUAAAAUAUGCAUAAAAAGAGUAAAAACACAUAUAGGAUAACUGGCAAGACAGUAGUUAAUUCUUUCCCCUCACAAAUAAAGAAUUCAAUUUAUAUUAUUUACAGUUAGAGAUACAAAUUUCCCUUGAAAUUGUUUUUUUUUUUUUUAAAGGUAAGAGCUCUCGUUUUUCUGGGGCAUGAGUGUAACAAGCUCCUGGUCUUGUACGAUAGCUGCCUUUUUCUGAGACCCCUUGUAAUUCAGUCUUGAAGUGGAGAAGACAGAUUUGCAAAGGAACUUAAUUCUUUUUUGGGACAGGCAGGGCUAAUACAAUGUAUAUUUUAAUAUUUUUCAGUUUUCUGUAUAUUAUGAUGUUUGGGCAUCUUAGCCCAGCCUAGAGCAUGCCUUUGGUUUGCAAACUAACCAACCCAGAACCACACUUUCUCUACCAGCCCAUGCACCGCACGAGACAGUAUUUCUCAGCCUCAACCAUUCCAGGACCAGGUUCUAGGCAACUGGGAACCACUCCCAUAGCUCAAAACUCACUGAAAUUAUUCAAACUAGUCAAUUCUAAACUGGUUCAUCCUGCGCUGUCUUGACUUUCCCUUGGAAACCCCAAUAAAGACAGUGACCUAAACCUUCCCCUUACUCCUGUCUCCUUCUUAACCAUCCUGCUGUCUUUUCAUGUGGACCUGUGUGGUAGGGCUUGCCUCCUGUCUUUAAAAUCUGUAAGUAUAAUAAACCUUGUUUUUAUUUUCUCCUGAAUUUCUCCUCCGUCUCCUCUUGUGCAUGCACCUGACUGACCAUCACAUAAGAAUAAUACUAUUGUGUGAAAUUAGGAAAAUCUGUUUAAGUAAACUUGAAUGGCCCUGACCAUGUUCCACUGAUGGGAAAGGAUUGAAGAACCUAGUGUUUGUGCAGAAGUGAUCAAAGUCACAUCAUGAGUGGUUGAAAUGGCUACACUGGUUACAAUCAGAAUCCCAGUGUAUUCAUUUAUAAUGAGAAAUAUAAUUUCUAAAUAAAUAAAAUCCUCAGAACAACCAUAAAAUUAUUUUCUGCAAGCCAAGCUAGAAAAUCAUAUUAUCAGAAAUUUGCUUGGUGCAGAAGGAAACAGAAAUGAAGUAUAUAAGGCUCUAAUAUGUAAUGCUGGAAGCUGCAACACUCACAAGCUAUUUCCAUUGCACUGAAAAGAACGUCUCCCCUCUGGGCAGGGCUCGGAGGAUCCCAAGCAGGGGAUGUUUGCAUCUUUACUGCCAUUGUUGACUGCUUUGUGCUGAUGAACGUUUAUUCAUGCAGUGGUUCCUAAACUUUUUAGUCUCAGAACUCCAUUAUGAUCAUCGUGGGCCCCAAGGAGUUUUUGUUUUAUAUGGGUUAUAUGUACCAAUAUUUGUUUUAUUGAAAAUUAAAAAUGGAAGAUGUUGCUUAUAUUUAUUUAUUUAAAAUAAAUGACAAUAAACCUAUUGUAUGGGAA